ACGCUGGUAAGGUUCUGCAGGUGCGUAAGAAUUGGGACCCAACAGGCUUAGAUACCGCAGUAGUCCGUCAAUUCAUCGAAGAUAUAAUCUUGCGGGGGCUCAUGGCAGUUGGAUGGCGCAAUGCGUUACAUUAACCUAUCGAAGCUGGCGAGUACGGUCGCAAGUAGAAAUCUCAAAGGAAUUGGUGGGGGCCCACGCAAGCGGUGGAGCAUGCGGUCCAUUCGAAGCCACUCAGCGUCAAUACCAGUCC
rnacentral:rRNA from 1 species